UACGGAGGGGGCAAGCGUUGUUCGGAAUUAUUGGGCGUAAAGGGCGCGUAGGCGGUCUACCAAGUCGGGUGUGAAAUCCCUCGGCUCAACCGAGGAACUGCAUUCGAUACUGGUUGGCUCGAGUCCGGGAGGGGAUGGUGGAAUUCCCAGUGUAGCGGUGAAAUGCGUAGAUAUUGGGAAGAACACCGGUGGCGAAGGCGACCAUCUGGACCGGAACUGACGCUGAGGCGCGAAAGCCAGGGGAGCGAAUGGG
rnacentral:rRNA from 1 species